rnacentral:lncRNA from 1 species
AUAUUUCCCUAAGUAGUCAAAAUUCUGUAUUACAUUUUUUUUUGGUGGUGCGGUGGGUAUUGAUUCCCAUAAUACUACAGAGAAAGGGACCUCAGUACAAAAAGCCACGAAAGGUGGUUUAAAAGUGUUCGAAGCCCGGAAUUCAACAUUCCAUCCCCUAAAACG